UGUCAUGGCCGCAUCAGCUUGUCAAAGUCCGAUCUCGUCAGAUCAGAAGCUAAGUGAGGCUGAGCCUGGUUAGUACUUGGAUGGGAGAUCACUGGGAAAAUCAUUCAAAAUCACCAUUAAAA
rnacentral:rRNA from 1 species